rnacentral:rRNA from 1 species
UACGUAGGGUGCAAGCGUUGUCCGGAAUUAUUGGGCGUAAAGAGUUCGUAGGCGGUUUGUCGCGUCGGGAGUGAAAACACCGGGCUUAACUCGGUGCUUGCUUUCGAUACGGGCAGACUAGAGGCAUGCAGGGGAGAACGGAAUUCCUGGUGUAGCGGUGGAAAUGCGCAGAUAUCAGGAGGAACACCGAUGGCGAAGGCAGGUCUCUGGGCCACUACUGACGCUGAGAAGCGAAAGCAUGGGGAGCGAACAGG